rnacentral:rRNA from 1 species
AGUGAACGCUGGCGGUAGGCCUAACACAUGCAAGUCGAACGGCAGCACAGUAAGAUCUUGCUCUUACGGGUGGCGAGUGGCGGACGGGUGAGGAAUACAUCGGAAUCUACUUUUUCGUGGGGGAUAACGUAGGGAAACUUACGCUAAUACCGCAUACGACCUACGGGUGAAAUCAGGGGAUCUUCGGACCUUGCGCGAUUGAAUGAGCCGAUGUCGGAUUAGCUAGUUGGCGAGGUAAAGGCCCACCAAGGCGACGAUCCGUAGCUGGUCUGAGAGGAUGAUCAGCCACACUGGAACUGAGACACGGUCCAGACUCCUACGGGAGGCAGCAGUGGGGAAUAUUGGACAAUGGGCGCAAGCCUGAUCCAGCCAUACCGCGUGGGUGAAGAAGGCCUUCGGGUUGUAAAGCCCUUUUGUUGGGAAAGAAAAGCAGCAGGUUAAUACCCCGCUGUUCUGACGGUACCCAAAGAAUAAGCACCGGCUAACUUCGUG